rnacentral:rRNA from 1 species
AAUGCGGCACCCACCCUGCGACCCCAGGUCAAGCGGGACUACCCGCCGAAUUUAAGCAUAUCAAAAAACCGGGGAGG